rnacentral:rRNA from 1 species
CAGCCGCCGCGGGAAAACGUAGGGCGCAAGCGUUAUCCGGAAUUAUUGGGCGUAAAGAGCUCGUAGGCGGUUUGUCGCGUCUGCCGUGAAAGUCCGGGGCUCAACCCCGGAUCUGCGGUGGGUACGGGCAGACUAGAGUGAUGUAGGGGAGACUGGAAUUCCUGGUGUAGCGGUGAAAUGCGCAGAUAUCAGGAGGAACACCGAUGGCGAAGGCAGGUCUCUGGGCAUUAACUGACGCUGAGGUACGAAAGCAUGGGGAGCAAACAGGAUUAGAUACCCCGGUAGUCCCUGUCUCUUAUAC